rnacentral:misc_RNA from 1 species
GAUGAAGAACGUAGCGAAAUGCGAUAAGUAGUGUGAAUUGCAGAAUUCAGUGAAUCAUCGAAUCUUUGAACGCACAUUGCGGCCAUAGGUAUUCCUUUGGCCAUGCCUGUUCGAGCGUCAUUUACACCCUCAAGCCUAGCUUGGUGUUGGGCGUCUGUCCCGCCGUUCUCGCGCGCGGACUCGCCUCAAAGUCAUUGGCGGCGGUCGUGCCGGCCCCCUCGCGCAGCACAUUUGCGCUUCUCGGUGGCCCGGCGGAUCCGCGCUCCAGCAAGACCUUUCACGACUUGACCUCGGAUCAGGUAGGGAUACCCGCUGAACUUAAGCAUAUCAAUAAGCGGAGGA